rnacentral:rRNA from 1 species
UACGUAGGGUGCAAACGUUGCUCGGAAUUAUUGGGCGUAAAGCGCACGUAGGCGGCUUUGCAAGUCCCAUGUGAAAUCCCACGGCUCAACCGUGGAAGUGCAUGGGAAACUGCAGAGCUUGAGUACUUAAGAGGAUCGCGGAAUUCCCGGUGUAGAGGUGAAAUUCGUAGAUAUCGGGAGGAACACCAGUGGCGAAGGCGGCGAUCUGGGAAGAUACUGACGCUGAGGUGCGAAAGCGUGGGGAGCAAACAGG